UACGAAGGGGGGCGAGCGUUGUUCGGAUUUACUGGGCGUAAAGGGCGCGCAGGCGGCUCAUUUUGUCAGGCGUGAAAGCCCCGGGCUUAACCUGGGAACUGCGUUUGAUACGGAUGGGCUAGAGUUCGGGAGAGGAGAGUGGAAUUCCCAGUGUAGAGGUGAAAUUCGUAGAUAUUGGGAAGAACACCGGUGGCGAAGGCGGCUCUCUGGACCGAGACUGACGCUGAGGCGCGAAAGCGUGGGGAGCAAACAGG
rnacentral:rRNA from 1 species